rnacentral:lncRNA from 1 species
AAGUCUCCUUUUGGGGGCAGGCUUCGGCAGCCGAAAGGCUUGCCUCCCCAGCCAUGUUCGGCGGCCGAAAGUCCUUCGGCUGCCGAACCUGGUUUCUGCCAAAGGGCAGAAACUUGGCUCCUUUUGCACAUUUCGCCUCCAAACCUUCCAAACAUGCAUCAAACCUAUUCUACAACACACAAACACAAGCAUACAUGUUCCUAGGGGCCACAAAUCAUCAUAAACCCCAUCUACAACACAUCAAGCACACAUUACAAGCCACAUUGCUCA